GCAGGGAUGUGUGCACAGUGUCAGUCUGUGUCUAGUAGAGCAGUUUGUCAGUGUCUUGCUGGCUGACCGUUCCACUCACACAAAUCCUGCGGCCGCAGAGCAACAUGAGAUCAUAGUACUGGUCUAGCGACGUCUGCAGGACGCUUCCACCGCUGGCCAGCCUCCAAACUCUCAGAUAUCU